UUCAAAAAUACGAAAAUAUGUGAACAAGUGUACGUCCAAGAACUAGGAUCAGCCGUUGUUAGCGUCUGAGCAGUGAUGAGUUACUCCCCUUUGUAGUAAAUUAGCCAUUCUCCCAAAGGAAUCUGAUAGAGCAUUUUCACAUCACAAUACUAUUAUGAGCAAUGAGGAAGACACUGGCAGUUUCCCGUGUGAUCUGUGUCCGGAAACAUUUGAAGAGUUCACAGAAUUCAGCGAACACCUAAAAAGUCAUUUUAAAGGAAGAAAUCACAAAUGUCCCGAAUGCGUUCUAGAGUUUGAGAGCAGAGCAGAUCUUCUGGAGCAUCAAGCCACACAUAACGUUGGUCCAACAUUUGAGUGUGCCAUGUGCAAGAAGAAGUUUCCAACCAGUUUGGCUUUAGAAAAUCAUGCCAUAAUUCACAGAGACAAGUUUUCGUGUGAUUUUUGUGACAAGAUAUUCAGUCUUAAAGCACAGCUUCAUGACCAUAAAAAGCUUUUCCAGUAUAAGUAUAAAUGCUGCCUGUGUAACAGGUCUUUGUCUGGCAAGACACCCUUUGAUAACCACAUGCGUUCUUUGCAUAUAAAGGGAGGCAGGAUGUUUCAUUGUGACAUCUGUAGCAAGGAUUUUCGUUCCAAAGGAAACCUAAAACAGCAUCAAGAAAGUCAUGAAGAUAAGCCUCAUGUAUGUGAAACUUGUGGUGUCGCUUAUCGUAAUAAGAAGCUGUUUGACAUACAUGUGAAAAUCCACGAAGAAGGUGGCAUUACCUGCUGUAAAAUCUGCAAGUUCAAGGCCCAGGGUCCAGGGUCUCUGUCCCAGCACAUGAGAAUGCACGAGAAGGAGUUGGCUUUACUGAAGAAAUUGGAUAGCUCAAGUGUAUCACAUACUCAAUCUUAAGAGUCACUAUUGAUACUCAUUAAGUCCUAGGUAACAUAUUAUUUUUACUGAUUGAGAACAUGCAUAUUAAGGAACAGGAAAGAGUUUUGGAUUGGAGAAAAAAAAAACAUUGCUACAGAAAAAUAACUAGAAAUUUUGUCUGAAAUUUACUUUGCAUCCUCCUUUGUGCUUUUUAAACAUCCAAAUAUUAACAAUAAAAAUUAAAAUUAAAACUAUCUCUCUUAAAUAUAAGUUUCGGUGUGAAUACUUUUAAAAUACCAGAAAUUAAUAACACUGUGAACCACAUUAUCAUAUUAAUGAAAUAUUUUAUAUUUAGCUUCAAAUACAAAAAACAAAUGCCUACUUUCAACUGUUUUAUAAACUAUUUAAAACUAAAGAUCCAAAUUGAAAAAGAAAUAGCCCUCAACAACGAUAAACUUCAUAUUUUUGAACAAAAAUGGAAACAUAUAAACUUUCAUAACCCAGUCUAGUAGUUUUCUACCCACCUUUUACAAUUGACUAAACUUAUUUUAUUUUUUUUUAUUUUUUAAACACCUAUCACAAACAACCAAAGAAAAACAAAUACAUAUUGAUAAUUUGUAAUUAUUAAAGGAAAUCACAAGGUCAACAACAUGUAUAUAUUAGCAUAUUUUGUAUUACAUGUUUGAACAGCUUUGCUGCCGAAUGUUAAUCACCAUGUUUCUUUUUGAUAUUAUUCAUGUAUACAUUGUAUGUUUUAUAUUUAAUAAAAAAAAAAUAAAAAAUUAUUAUUUUUUAGUAUGGUAAAAUAGAACAGCCAAAAUGAAAAAACUGCCCCUUAAACGGGGACUUGUUAACAGCUUGGCAAAAUAACAAUAAAAAUAAUUAAUUUUGUUUGAAAGAAUGAAUACAUUAUACAUUAUAUAUAUUCAAAAAGAAAAAUUACCACUAAUGACUAAGAAAUCAGUAGAAAAACAUGUUAGUUCAUUGUAAAUCAUCAACAGAAAUUGUAAAAAUUAUGAAGGGUUUGUAACGCUGUUAAUCGAUAAGUAAUCGAAAACGUGCAUUACCAACAUGGUUUUGAAUUUCGGUGCAUUUUUACAUGAUGUAGAGGUAGCCAAUUAGCUUUUGCCUCAAGAGGCUGGGGUAAGAUCCCCAAAGCAGGCACAUUUUCAUUUGAUCUUGUUGGUUGUUAUAUAUUAUUAAUAUUUAAAACUGAAUAUUACAUGCAGUUUUGUUAGUUUACUAUUUAAAUAAUAUUUUUCACAAACACGAAAAUCUUUGAACACGUCCCUUGACUUGUAAUGGUGAAUCGUAAGAUCUCUGAAUGCAAUUGCAAAGAAAGUGUGAAAUAUUUCAAAUGUCAAAUAUGAUCCCAUUUUUUUAUCCCAUUCAUAAUGAAUUAUGUGAUAUGGAUAAAAAGUAAUAUUUUAAAUAUUUUUUUGUACAGUUCUGUGUUUUGUGGAACAGAUCACAAUACAUUAAAAAAUAAUAGAAUUGUCUUUUUCGCUUACUUAAAUAACUUUUACAUUUGUAAAUUCGUAUAUUACUCUUGUGAGUCUGGCUCUGAGAAAACAUGGUUUACUGCAUGUGGGUAGAGUGUCAUCCCAGAUUAGCCUGUGUGGACUGCAUGUGGGUAGAGUGUCAUCCCAGAUUAGCCUGUGGGGACUGCAUGUGGAUAGAGUGUCAUCCCAGAUUAGCCUGUGUGGACUGCAUGUGGGUAGAGUGUCAUCCCAGAUUAGCCUGUGUGGACUGCAUGUGGGUAGAGUGUUAUCCCAGAUUAGCCUGUGUGGACUGCAUGUGGGUAGAGUGUCAUCCCAGAUUAGCCUGUGUGGACUGCAUGUGGGUAGAGUGUCAUCCCAGAUUAGCCUGUGUGGACUGCAUGUGGGUAGAGUGUCAUCCCAGAUUAGCCUGUGUGGACUGCAUAUGGGUAGAGUGUCAUCCCAGAUUAGCCUGUGUGGACUGCAUGUGGGUAGAGUGUCAUCCCAGAUUAGCCUGUGUGGACUGCAUGUGGGUAGAGUGUCAUCCCAGAUUAGCCUGUGUGGACUGCAUGUGGGUAGAGUGUCAUCCCAGAUUAGCCUAUGUGGACUGCAUGUGGGUAGAGUGUCAUCCCAGAUUAGCCUGUGUGGACUGCAUGUGGGUAGAGUGUCAUUCCAGAUUAGCCUGUGUGGACUGCAUGUGGGUAGAGUGUCAUCCCAGAUUAGCCUGUGUGGACUGCAUGUGGGUAGAGUGUCAUCCCAGAUUAGCCUGUGUGGACUGCAUAUGGGUAGUGUCAUCCCAGAUUAGCCUGUGUGGACUGCAUGUGGGUAGAGUGUCAUCCCAGAUUAGCCUGUGUGGACUGCAUGUGGGUAGAGUGUCAUCCCAGAUUAGCCUGUGUGGACUGCAUGUGGGUAGUGUCAUCCCAGAUUAGCCUGUGUGGACUGCAUGUGGAUAGAGUGUCAUCCCAGAUUAGCCUGUGUGGACUGCAUGUGGGUAGUGUCAUCCCAGAUUAGCCUCUGUGGACUGCAUGUGGGUAGAGUGUCAUCCCAGAUUAGCCUGUGUGGACUGCAUGUGGGUAGAGUGUCAUCCCAGAUUAGCCUGUGUGGACUGCGCAGGGUUGACACUUUCAGCUUAAACUUGAUGUUCAAUAAGAAGAUACUUCUUAAGACAAAAGAUAAAAUAAAAACGGAUGGUGCCUCCCCUAAUUAGCCUGUGCACACUGUACUGACUAAUCUGGGACGACACUCUAUGAGUAUGCAUUUAGCCCAGUUUGCCCAGAGCGCAGAUUUUCACUAAGAAGAUACUUUCUUAAAACAAAAGAUAAAAUAAAAAUGGAUAGUGUCUUCCCUGAUUAGCCUGUGUGGGCUGCACAGGCUAAUCUGGGACGACACUAUGCAUAUACAUUAAGCUCGGUUUCACCAGAGCGCAACCCAUUUAUAUAUUAACUUUUAGUAUUUUCUAUUUAUUUUCAUUUACAUGUAGGUGGCUUCUACCUCAAGGCUCAUUAUUUGUAAACAAAAUAUGUUUGUUUAUGAUUUGUUAAAUGAGUUCAUUAUGAUUUUGAAAAUGGUUCUUUUUUGUUGUUGCAGAUUUUGUUUUCUUUAAAGGGCAUCUUAAUUAUGAAAUAAAGAUUGCUGUUCCUU